rnacentral:rRNA from 1 species
UACGGGGGGAGCAAGCGUUGUUCGGAUUUACUGGGCGUAAAGGGCGCGUAGGCGGCGCGACAAGUCACUUGUGAAAUCUCUGGGCUCAACCCAGAACGGUCAAGUGAUACUGUCGUGCUAGGAUGCGGAAGGGGCAACUGGAAUUCUUGGUGUAGCGGUGAAAUGCGUAGAUAUCAAGAGGAACACCUGCGGCGAAGGCGGGUUGCUGGGCCGACACUGACGCUGAGGCGCGAAAGCUAGGGGAGCGAACGGG